rnacentral:rRNA from 1 species
UUAUAUGGAUAACCGUAGGAAAUCUAGAGCUAAUACAUGCUGUUGCGCUGUGCGUAGUAUUUAUUAGGUAAACACCACCGGGCAACCGUGGAGGAAUCAUAAUAACUUAGCGAACUCCGAAGGAGUGAAGCAAUCAAGUUUCUGCCCCAACAGCUUGAUGGUAGUGUAUUGGACUACCAUGGCGAUAACGGGUACGGGGAAUUAGGGUUCGAUUCCGGAGAGGGAGCCUGAGAAACGGCUACCGUAUCUAAGGGUGACAGUAGCUGCGCAAAUUACCCAAUCCUAAUUCAGGGAGGUAGUGACAAGAAAUAUCAAUGUUGGCUAAGUCGAGCAUUGAAAUGAGCGAAGUUUAGACCCCUUCGCAAUGACCCACUGGAGGGCAAGUCUGGUGCCAGCAGCCGCGGUUAUACCAGCUCCAGUAGCGCAUAUUAAAAUUGUUGCAGUUAAAAAGCUCGUAGUUGAAUAUCAGUGGGGGAAUUCCCCCACUCUGUCCGAACAGUGGCGCAAGCCCCUCACGGACGUUACCAUGAGCAAAUAUGAGUGUUCCAAGCGGGCUUUUGCCUUCAAACAAAGCAUGGAAUAAUAGAAAAGGACUGGGUUCUAUUGGUGUGGGCGCCUAGUAAUGAUUAAUAGGGGCAGUUGGGGGGCAUUCGUACUCGGCAGCCAGAGGUGGAAUUCUAUGACUUCCCGAAGACGAACCUAUGCGAAAGCAUUUGCCAAGGAUGUUUUCAUUAAUCAAGAACGAAAGUUAAAGGGAUCAAAGACGAUCAGAUACCGUCGUAGUCUUAACCAUAAACUAUGCCGACUAGAGAUUGGAGGUGCAAAACAAUACUCCUUCAGGAUCUUCGAGAAAUCAAAGUCUUUGGGUUCUGGGGUGAGUAUAGUCGCAAGACUGAAACCUAAAGGAAUUGACGGAAGGGCACCACCAGGAGUGGAGCUUGCGGCUCAAUUUAACUUAACGCAGGAAAACUUACCAGGACUAGAAGCUAAGAGGAUUGACAGACUGAAGAUCUUUCUUGAUCUAGCUAAUGGUGGUGCAUGGCUGCUCAAAGUCCGUGGAGUGAUCUGUUGGGUUAAUUCCGAUAACGGACGAAACCUCCGCCUUAAACUAGUAAUUUCUUCUUUGAUUCUUACUUCUUUGAGGGACUGUAGGGGCGACCCUGAGGAAGCAGGAGGCGAUAGCAAGUCAGGAUGCCCUUUGAUGUUCUGGGCCGCACGCGCGCUACACUGAUGCAGACAAAACGUCCCUUGUCCGACAGGACUUGGCAACCUUCAAACUGCAUCGUGCUUGGGAUUGACUCUUGUAAUUGGGUCAUCAACGAGGAAUUCCUAGUAAAUGCAGGUCAUCAACCUGCGUUGACUACGUCCCUGUCCUUUGUACACACCGCCCGUCGAUCUCACUGUGUGAGUGUAACGC